rnacentral:tRNA from 1 species
GCCCGAAUGGUGGAAUGGCAGACACACCGGACUUAAAAUCCGUUGCCGCAAGGCGUGCGGGUUCGACUCCCGCUUCGGGCA